AUGAAAACAAUCAUGAUCCUUUUUUUUCCUUUUAAACUGGCAAAGAUUAUAACAAUUAGGAUAUUCUGUGUACAUGGAAAAAUAUUAAAGUGAAUCAGAAAAAUAAACCUUGCUCUAAAAUGUUGGCAUUCUUCAAUGGCAUUGUCCUAUUCCUGCUUCUCUCCUUCCCUUAGCAAUGUUAUCCACUCUCCUGGCUUUAUUUACCAUCUUUACACCUACGUUUUAAAAUCAGUAUCACCUCUAUGUUGUUAAACGAAAUUUACACGAGGUCAUUGGUUGGGACUGAGCUUCUGCACUAGGCCCAACUGGUCAAACCAAAAUGGCAAAAUGGAGUCACUAAUUCUGAAAUUCCAGAUCCCAAGAUGAAACUAAGUUAUCUGACCUUCUAAGAAAUCAGGAGAGAGAUAAUGGCCAAGUCUCCUAACAGAUCAGUUUCAGCUGGCAUGAUAAGGAAGUCCCUUCUGCUUUAACCUUUACAAGGAAAGUAACUUUGAACCAGCCAAUCCGCGUUUUGUUCCAUUUCUGCUUUUUCAGCUCUUUCCUGCCUGUAAAGUGAAGGGGGCCAGCCCCUCCACACCUGUGGGUAUUUCUCAUCAGGCAGGACAAGAGACUGAGAAAAGAAAUAAGACACAGAGACAAAGUAUAGAGAAAGAAAAGUGGGCGCAGGGGACCGGCGCUCAGCAUUCGGAGGACCUGCACUGGCACCAGUCUCUGAGUUCCCUCAGUAUUUAUUAACUACUAUUUUCACUGUCUCAGCAAGAGGAAUGAGGCAGGAGAGCAGGGUGAUAAUGGGGAGGAGGUCAACAAGAAAACACAUGAGCAAAGGAAUCUGUGCCACAAAUAAGUUCAAGGGAAGGUACUAUGCCUGGAUGUGCAUGUAGGCCAGAUUUAUGCUUUUUUCCACCCAAACAUCUCAGUGGAGUAAAGAGUAACAGAGCAGCAUUGCUGCCAACAUGUCUCGCCUCCCGCCACACGGAGGCUUUUCUCCUAUCUCAGAAUUGAACAAAUGUACAAUUGGGUUUUAUACCGAGACAUUCAGUUCCCAGGAGCAGACAGGAGACAGUGGCCUUCCUCUAUCUCAACUGCAAGAGGCCUUCCUCUUUUACUAAUCCUCCUCAGCACAGACCCUUCACGGGUGACGGGCUGGGGGACGGUCAGGUCUUUCCCAUCCCACGAGGCCAUAUUUCAGACUAUCACAUGGGGAGAAACCUUGGACAAUACCCAGCUUUCCUGGGCAGAGGUCCCUGCGGCUUUCUGCAGUGCAUUGUGCCCCUGGUUUAUCGAGACUGGAGAAUGGCGAUGACUUUUACCAAGCAUACUGCCUGUAAACAUUUUGUUAACAAGGCACAUCUUGCACAGCCCUAGAUCCCUUAAACCUUGAUUCCAUACAACACAUGUUUCUGUGAGCUCAAGGUUGGGGCAAAGUUACAGAUUAACAGCAUCUCAGGGCAAAGCACUUGUUCAGGGUACAGGUCAAAAUGGAGUUUCUUAUGUCUUCCCUUUCUACAUAGACACAGUAACAGUCUGAUCUCUUUCUUUUCUCUACAGUAAAGCCCAAUCGCCUCCGCUCAGCUCAUCAGAAGAAUCAUGAAUAAAAGUCAAUUAGAUCUUUAAGCUAAAUUUGUUGUAAUUUUGUAUUUUGACAAUAUUCAGACUGUAUAUUCAACUGGUUACUUGAUAGCAACUUGGAGAGCUCACACGUACCUCAAACUCAGAACAACAAUGUGUCAGGUCACUGUUCUAUAAUUUUCUUUAAUCUUUUAUUGUGUUUUUUCAGGGUGUUACAUUUAUAUCAUUAAAAAACUAUAUCUCAAUCUGUCCAUUUUCUCUCUCCAUUCUCACUGUUAAUGCUGUAAAUGCUCUAGUUCAGGCUGCCAUCACAUGUAGCCUGGAUUGUUGCUAAGUCUUCCUUACUGGUCUCCUUGUAUCCACUCUUGGCUACUUUCAACCUAUUUUUUUUUUUCUAAUUAGCCAAAGUCAUCUUUUAAAAAUAUGAAAUUUAGCUCUUUUAAGUAUUAGUUGUAUGACCUGAAAGACCUAGUGGUCCCUGGAAAGGAGUUUAAAUUUUAUUCCAAAUGAAAAGGAAAGCUAUUAAACAGUCUUGGGGGUAAGGAAGUCACAUACAAAGACUCACACUUUCCAAGGUUUCCCUGACUGUUGUGUGGAAAAUGGAUUGUAGGGGAGCACUAGUGGAAUCAGAGAGACUAAUGAGGAGGCUUUAGCGGUAGUGCCUAAGAGAGGUGAUGGAGGCUUGGGCUGAGGUAAUAGCAGUGAUGAGAGGUGGAUGAAUUCUAGAAAUAUCUUGUAGGUUUAAUUGACAAGACUUGCUGAUGGAUAAGAUGCAGAAAGUGAAGAAAAGAGAAUAAUAGAGAAUUAUGGAUGGUGGGGAAAGAAAUGAGUUAAAGAAAGCAAUCAGAAAUUUCAUUUUGAGUAUGUUAAUUUUGAGAUGCCUCCAAUACAUUCAAGUAGAAAUUUGUAAGUAGGCACUUGUAUAAAUAAAUCUGGAGCGGGCCGGGUGCGGUGGCUCACGCUUGUAAUCCCAGCACUUUGGGAGGCUGAGGCGGGCGGAUCACGAGGUCAGGAGAUCGAAACCAUCCUGGCUAACAGUGAAACCCUGUCUCUACUAAAAAUACAAAAAAUUAGCCAGCGUGGGGGUGGGCGCCUGUAGUCCCAGCUACUCGGGAGGCUGAGGCAGGAGAAUGGCAUGAACCCAGGAGGCGGAGCUUGCAGUGAGCCGAGAUCACGCCCCUGCACUCCAGCCUGGGCGACAGAGCAAGACUCUGUCUCAAAAAAAAUACAAAAUAAUAAAUAAAUAAAUAAAUAAAUAAAUAAAUAAAUAAAAUAAAAAAUAAAAUAAAUCUGGAGCUUAGCGAAGGAGUUUAGGAUAAUGAAAUAAACUUGAGAUUCAGCAGGAUGAUAUUUCUAGCAUAAAAAUGGAAAAAGGAGAUAAUAUAGGUAGAGAAAUGGACACAGGAAUGAGUCUAAGGAAUGGCUACAUUUAUAGACUGAGUAACGGAGGAGGAGCCAGCAAAGUAAACUAAGCAGGAAUUAUCAGGGAAGUAGGAGAAAAACCAGGAGAAUGAGGUAUUGUAGAAGCCAAGAAAUGACAGUGUUUUAAGAAAGAGGAAGUGCUGCUAAUAGGUUGAGUAAACAGGACAGAAAAGUAUCUGUUAGACUUGGCAACCCAGAGGUCAAGGAUAAUUUUGAUAUGAGGUAUUAUUACUAUUAUUUACCAAUCAUACCACAUAAGUCUCCUGCCUAAAACCAUUCAGUGGCUUCCCUUUGGCCUUAUGAUGCUGUUCAAAAUACGUCCUAUGCUUUUUAAACCACUCCACCCUGUGCCCAGUGCCUUGUCUCCUGACAUCUGUCUCUGCAGAAAUACUGGAAUUCUUCCCGUUGCAGUUCUGGAAACAUACUAUGCUCUCUCUCCUCUCAAUGUUCUCACGCAGGUUUGAACCAACAGUAACUUCUAGACUGUAUGAUAUAUGAAAAGCAGCACACUGUUGUGGUUAGGAGUGCAGUCUCUAGAGCCAGCCUGCGUGGGUUUGAAUUCUUGCUUUUGCUUUUCUGUUUGUACAAUCUUAGGUAAGUUCCUUUUCCUGCUUUUACUUUUCUCAUUUAUAAAUUAGGGACAUAAGAAUACAUAUUUCGGGCCGAGCGUGGUGGCUCACACCUGUAAUCCCAGCAGUGUUGGAGGCCAAGGCAGGCGGAUCACGAGGUCAGGAGAUCGAGACCAUCCUGGCUAACACGGUGAAACCCCAUCUCUACUAAAAAUACAAAAAAUUAGCCGAGUGGGGUGGCAGGAGCCUGUAGUCCCAGCUACUCGGGAGGCAGGAAAAUGGCGUGAACCUGGGAGGCGGAGCUUGCAGUGAGCCGAGAUUGCGCCACUGCACUCCAGCCUGGGCGACAAAGCGAGACUCAGUCUCAAAAACAAAAACAAAACACAAAAAAAGGAAUACUUAUUUCCGCCGGGCGCGGUGGCUCACGCCUGUAAUCCCAGCACUUUGGGAGGCCGAGGCAGGCGGAUCACAAGGUCAAGAGAUCGAGACCAUCCUGGCUAACACGGCGAAACCCCGUCUCUACUAAAAAUACAAAAACAAAAAAUUAGCCGGCGGCGGUCACCUGUAGUCCCGGCUACUCCGGAGGCUGAGGUGGAAGAAUGGCGUGAACCAGGGAGGCGGAGCUUGCAGUGAGCCGAGAUCACGCUACUGCGCUCCAGCCGGGGCGACAGAGAGAGACUGUCUCAAAAAACAAAACAAAACCAAAAAAAACUAUUUCACAGAAUUAUUAUUAUAGGAAAAAAAGUUACAUUCAAGAGAAUGAAAAUGACAAGAUGUCAAACAACAGAUGCUAAAAGAUAAUUGAAUAAUGCCUUCACAAUUAUGAAGGAAAAUUAUUUACCAUCUACAUUUCUGUAUCCAGAAAAAAAAUCAAUUCUAAGGGCAAAAUAAAAACAUAUUUUCAGACAUGUAAUCAUUUAGAAAAUUAUGUCGCACAUUACCUUUCUUAGGAAAUUAUUUGUGUAUGUCCUCUUAAAAAUAAAGGAAUUAAACAAAAAAGGUGGGGCCAAGGAAUACAAGAAUUAGUGAUUAUAACAAUUAAAAGUGAUAUAGGAAAAUCUGAAAAACAGCUGUGUCUUAAAUGACAAUUAGUCCUAAUUGGAACCAGAGGACAGAAAACUUUGAAAAGUUCCUAGGAAAAAAUAUGGAACCCAGAGAUUUGAUCAUAUUCCUAGACUUAAGGUGUUGGCUGAUCAUAACAGUGAAAUAAAUGCUGGUAGUGCAAAAAGUAAACAAGGGUAAUAAGACACUCCAGCAUAAACAUAAAAGGUAUAUAAUAUAGUUAUGCUACACUAGUUGAAUUCGAAAUAAAUGGGAUUUACAUGGUUAAAUCAUAGUUUAAAUUUAAAUGACUAUUUUUACUUCUAGAAUUAAUUUAUAGACAAAGCAUAGAAGGUUUGGUUAUGAUUAUAGGAUUAAAUAUAAGUGUUAUUGUUAUGGGCUGAAUGUUUGGGUCAUGUGUUGAAAUCAUAACCCCCAAUUUGAAGGUAUUAGGAGUUGGGGCCUUUGGGGGGUGAUUAGGUCAAGAGGGGGUGGGGCUUUCAUGAAUGGGAUUAGUGCCCUUAUAAAAGAGGCCCCAGAGACCUCUCUGAUAUGGUUUGGCUGUGUCCCCACCCAAAUCUCAUCUUGAAUUUUAGCUCUCAUUAAUUCUUACGUGUUGUGGGAAGGACCCAGUGGGAAAUAAUUUCAUCAUGGGGGUGGUUUCCUUCAUACUAUUCUUGUGGUAGUGAAUAAGUCUCAUAAAAGCUGAUGGUUUUAUAAGGGGAAACCCCUUUCGUUUGCCUCUCAUCUUCUCUUGCCUGCUGCCAUAUAUGACAUGCCUUUUGCCUUCCACCAUGAUUGUGAGGCCUCUCCAGCCAUGUGGAACUGUGAGUCCAUUAAAUGUCUUUUUCUUUAUAAAUUGCCAAGUCUUAGGUAUGUCUUUAUCAGCAGUGUGAAUAUGGACUAAUACACUCUCUUUGCUUUCUGCCAUUUGAGGGCACAGGAAAGUCUGCAAUCUACAACCUGGAAAAAGGUUUUCACCAGACCCAACCAUGCUGGCACUUGGAUCUCAGACUUCCAGACUCCAGGACUGUGAGAAAUAAAUUCCUGUUGUUUAAAAGCCACCCAGCUCAUGGUAUUGUGUUAUAGCAGCCUGAGCUAAGACAGAAUCAACCAUUUAUUCUCUAAAAUUUCAAUUUUAGAUGGCUGAUGUUGGAAGGGAAUAAAACUGAUGGGAAAGACAGGGACAUCAGCAUCAUCUGACAAAAUGAAGAAUGAAGAGAUACUGCUAUGAUUUGAAUGUGUCCUCCGAAAUUCAUGUGUUGGAAAGUUAAUCUCCAGUCCAACUGUGUUGGGAGGUAGAGCCUUCUGAAGGGUUUAUAUUAUGAGGGUGCAGUCCUUAUGAAUUGAUUCAUGCCACCAUUAAAAGGGCUUUCAGGAGUGGGUUGGCUCCUUCUGCUUUUCUGCCAUGUGAGGACUCAGCACUCCUCCUCUCCAGAGGUGUGGCGACAAGGUGCCAUCUUUGAACCAGAGUCCAAACCUGCUAGCGUCUUGAUAUUGAACUUCCCAGCUUCCAGAACCAUGAGAAAUAAAUUUCUGUUCCUUAUACAUUACCCAGUCUGUGGUAUUUUGUUAUAGUAGCACAAAAUGUAUUAAGAUGGAGACUGUCUCUAGUUGCUGGCAUUCAUC
rnacentral:lncRNA from 10 species